CUCCUGGAGACCCUGAGGGAGAAAUUCCCUUUAAGGCUGAAUGCUUGGGCAAGUGACACGUGGUUUUCCUACUGUCGCCCCAACCUUAAAAGAACGAAUCCAGGCGGGGCAUUAGGCUCAGGUAGAGACUUCCGGCUUAGAUGAUUGAAAAGGAGACAAUCAUUUUGGAGCUCAAAAUCGUACUGUAGGCCGGGCGCAGUGGCUCACAUCUGUAAUCCCAGCACUUUGGGAAGCUGAGG
rnacentral:lncRNA from 10 species